UGAUGCUGAUGCUGUAGGAGCUGCCGCAGGCUGCGAUCUUUUGAUCUGGCCUUUGAAAGGACAAAGUCAAAAGGUCGCAGCCUGCGGCAGCUCCUACAGUGAGU
rnacentral:miRNA from 1 species